CGGGGUGUGGCGCAGCUUGGUAGCGCGCCUGCUUUGGGAGCAGGAGAUCGUGGGUUCAAAUCCCGCCACCCCGA
rnacentral:tRNA from 1 species